UUGUAGACAUAUGGUGGUGGUGGAGACUUGUAAGUGACUUUAGGAGAAGGAGAGUAGUAUGGAGGAGGUGGGGAGCUGUAGACGUAUGGUGGUGGUGGAGACUUGUAGUGAACCUUAGGAGAAGGAGAGUAAUAGGGUGGUGGUGGGGAGCUGUAGACGUAUGGUGGAGGUGGGGACUUGUAGUGAACUUUAGGAGAAGGAGAGUAGUAUGGUGGUGGUGGGGAACUGUAGACGUACGGUGGUGGUGGGGACUUGUAGUAUACAUUUGGAGAUGGUGAGUAGUACGGUGGGGGUGGGGAGCUGUAGACGUACGGUGGUGGUGGGGACUUGUAGUAAACCUUUGGAGAAGGAGAGUAGUACGGUGGUGGUGGGGAACUGUAGACGUACGGUGGUGGUGGGGACUUGUAGUAUACCUUAGGAGAAGGAGAGUAGUACGGUGGUGGUGGGGAGCUGUAGACGUAUGGUGGAGGUGGAGACUUAUAGUAAACCUUUGGAGAAGGAGAGUAGUACGGUGGUGGUGGAGAACUGUAGACGUACGGUGGUGGUGGGGACUUGUAGUAUACCUUUGGAGAUGGAGAGUAGUACGGUGGGGGUGGGGAGCUGUAGACGUAUGGUGGAGGUGGGGACUUGUAGUAAACCUUUGGAGAAGGAGAGUAGUACGGUGGUGGUGGAGAACUGUAGACGUACGGUGGUGGUGGGGACUUGUAGUAUACCUUUGGAGAUGGAGAGUAGUACGGUGGGGGUGGGGAGCUGUAGACGUAUGGUGGAGGUGGGGACUUGUAGUAAACCUUUGGAGAAGGAGAGUAGUACGGUGGUGGUGGGGAACUGUAGACGUAUGGUGGUGGUGGGGACUUGUAGUAAACCUUUG
rnacentral:lncRNA from 1 species